rnacentral:rRNA from 1 species
UUUUUGGAGAGUUUGAUCCUGGCUCAGGACGAACGCUGGCGGCGUGCCUAAUACAUGCAAGUCGAGCGGACCGAAGGGAGCUUGCUCCUUUAGGUUAGCGGCGGACGGGUGAGUAACACGUGGGCAACCUGCCCUGCAGACUGGGAUAACUUCGGGAAACCGGAGCUAAUACCGGAUAACACCGAAAACCGCAUGGUUUUCGGUUGAAAGGCGGCUUUUAGCUGUCACUGCAGGAUGGGCCCGCGGCGCAUUAGCUAGUUGGUGAGGUAACGGCUCACCAAGGCGACGAUGCGUAGCCGACCUGAGAGGGUGACCGGCCACACUGGGACUGAGACACGGCCCAGACUCCUACGGGAGGCAGCAGUAGGGAAUCUUCCGCAAUGGACGAAAGUCUGACGGAGCAACGCCGCGUGAGCGAAGAAGGUCUUCGGAUCGUAAAGCUCUGUUGUCAGGGAAGAACAAGUACCGUUCGAACAGGGCGGUACCUUGACGGUACCUGACGAGGAAGCCACGGCUAACUACGUGCCAGCAGCCGCGGUAAUACGUAGGUGGCAAGCGUUGUCCGGAAUUAUUGGGCGUAAAG